AACGAACGCUGGCGGCAGGCUUAACACAUGCAAGUCGAACGCCCCGCAAGGGGAGUGGCAGACGGGUGAGUAACGCGUGGGCACGUGCCCUUCGCUUCGGAAUAGCCUCGGGAAACUGGGAGUAAUACCGAAUACGCCGUAUUGGGAAAGAUUUAUCGGCGAAGGAUUGGCCCGCGUUAGAUUAGGUAGUUGGCGGUGUAAUGGACCACCAAGCCUACGAUCUAUAGCUGGUCUGAGAGGAUGAUCAGCCACACUGGGACUGAGACACGGCCCAGACUCCUACGGGAGGCAGCAGUGGGGAAUCUUGGACAAUGGGCGCAAGCCUGAUCCAGCCAUGCCGCGUGAGUGAAGAAGGCCUUAGGGUUGUAAAACUCUUUCGCCGGAGAAGAUAAUGACGGUAUCCGGAGAAGAAGCCCCGGCUAACUUCGUGCCAGCCGCCGCUGUAACAC
rnacentral:rRNA from 1 species